rnacentral:lncRNA from 1 species
GUUUGAGUAUGACGUGAAUGUUAAAGAAGCUAUUAUUUCUGAAGAAGUUAACCAAUUCAUGGAUACCGUUUAAUUUCCAACCAGUGAAGAUCGAAGGUCAGUUUCAAGCAGUGAGUUAAGUAAAUCGUUGGGGAUGAUUUUGGUUGUACAUUUCAUCAGAUCAAGAUUGAGAACCUUGAGCCGUUAUGGUUGUGACUAGCAAGGACAGAAUGGUCGUGAUUGUCAAAGUGUGGAAAAUCCUGGAACGUUUACAUCAUUCACACUUUGGUGGUUCUUGUGAAGAGUUAGGAUUUUAGGUUACCCUUCCUCAUGAAGUUACCCGAUCUAUGUUACCUAUACCUAGGAUACCACUUGUUGAACUUGUUCGCUUUUCCUUACCGUUAGUCCACAUCCAAGU